GACGAACGCUGGCGGCGUGCUUGACACAUGCAAGUCGAACGGAAAGGCCCUGCUUUUGUGGGGUGCUCGAGUGGCGAACGGGUGAGUAACACGUGAGUAACCUGCCCUUGACUUUGGGAUAACUUCAGGAAACUGGGGCUAAUACCGGAUAGGAGCUCCUGCUGCAUGGUGGGGGUUGGAAAGUUUCGGCGGUUGGGGAUGGACUCGCGGCUUAUCAGCUUGUUGGUGGGGUAGUGGCUUACCAAGGCCUUGACGGGUAGCCGGCCUGAGAGGGUGACCGGCCACAUUGGGACUGAGAUACGGCCCAGACUCCUACGGGAGGCAGCAGUGGGGAAUAUUGCACAAUGGGCGGAAGCCUGAUGCAGCAACGCCGCGUGCGGGAUGACGGCCUUCGGGUUGUAAACCGCUUUCGCCUGUGACGAAGCGUGAGUGACGGUAAUGGGUAAAGAAGCACCGGCUAACUACGUG
rnacentral:rRNA from 1 species